UACGAACCGGUCCAAACGUUACUCGGAAUCACUGGGCUUAAAGGGUGCGUAGGCUGCGCGGAGGGUGGGAUGAUGAAACUCCCCCGGCUCAACCGGGGGAAUAGCGUCCCAAACCGCCGUGCUCGAGGGAGACAGGAGGUGAGCGGAACUGAUGGUGGAGCGGUGAAAAUGCGUUGAUAUCAUCAGGAACACCAGUGGCGAAGGCGGCUCACUGGGUCUUUCCUAACGCUGAGGCACGAAAGCUAGGGGAGCGAAGCAGG
rnacentral:rRNA from 1 species